CUUCAGACUUAUGAUCAAGGGAAAGAAAAUAAGUCCUCAAACCUCUACUCUCCUUUAUGUGUUCAUUUAAUGAACGAGUUAACUUCUUUCUCUCUUCUCUCAAACGUCUAAUCUCUCUUCCUCCUCUUCUUCUGUGUUUUCUUCAGUCGUACCGUUUACAGCAGCGAGCAGGGCUUCUUCUUGACCUUGGCGGGCUGAGGGCAGAGGACAGCACGAAUGGCCUCAUCAAACACAGUCUUCAGAUCACACUGGGUCAAGGCUGAGCACUCCAGACAUGGCUGGUAAGGACAUGAGGAGGAAACAGUAGGAGCUGUGUGAGGAUACUAAAGGCAGUGGAUCCCUCAGCAGCUGGAUUACAAAGAGCACAGUCUCAGAUCAGCACAGCCCUGCCCUCCAGCACUAUCAGCAGCAGGAGCAGCAGCAACCCCUCAACAGCAACAUUGUACCCAUCAGGUAAAACAUAAGCUACGUUUGCUUUGCCUUGUUGCCACAUCACAACAGUGAUGUAGUAUGAUGCGAUCCCAUAUUAGAUUCUUGAUGAAUGUGUGUUGUUGUUAUUCAGCCUGGUUCAAUGUGCCCCUUUUUAACUUUGAGCACCCGCCCCUUUAAACGUCUCUGCACGGCCCUGCUUCACUGACCACACCAUCUGUGACGGAGGACUCAUCUCCUCUGUGAAGUGAACACAUAUGGAGGAAUCUGUUGCUCUUCACUCGCUCUACUGUGACACCAGCAGUGCAGAGUGGGAGAUGGACAGGAUUGGUCUUCCAAAAGUCAACAGCUCUUUUGUUUUGUCAACACUGAGACAUAGAUUCUUGUCCUGCCACCAAAGUGCUGAGCUCACAGUCUAACUUAAGUUUCACACUGUUUUUUGUUAGAAAAAAAUCAAAUUGUUACAUGCUUAAAUUUACACAGAAUGUCAGAAAUCUCCACUGUCACAAACAAAAAUUUAAACCCAAAUUUUCAUGAUUUGUUGGGUUAAUAUUCUGAGGUCCAAAAUAUAAUUGGCCAUUUUUGGCUACUUUUGAUUGGGGUUUUUUGUUGUUGUUGUUUUGUUUUUUUGUUCUUUGUUUUUGUUACCUUGCCUUGCUUGGUAUCAUUCUUUUCAGCACAACCUCACAUGUCUGAAUUUGCAGUUAUUUUCUCAUUGACAUACUGUAUUAACACAACUGAUCUGAAAC
ensembl:lncRNA